rnacentral:rRNA from 1 species
AUGGUGGUUUUUUUUCAUAACUACCUGAACUCUGGUUACUUGCAAGAGAGAGCCAUUUUAGCCCCUACCAAUGACCAUGCUGAGGAUAUUAAUGAUCAUAUUCUUGCAUUGGUUCCUACUGAUAGCAGAGACUAUUUGAGUGCUGAUUCUAUUGAUGAUUCUUCGGAUUCUGUUAGGGACAAAGAUGUUUACUAUCCAGUCGAGUACCUGAAUGCAACUAAAAUUAUAAAUUUCCCAAAUCAUAGGCUGACUCUUAAGGUUGGUGUUCCGGUUAUGCUUCUUAGAAACCCGAGCCAGGCAAAUGGUUUGUGUAAUGGUACACGACUAAUUGUAAAAGAAUUAGGUGAUCGGCUUAUCGAAGCUGUCAUUAUGACUGGCUCACAUGUGGGUGAUACUGUUUAUAUCCCCAGGAUUGAAUUAUUGGCAAAGAAGGGAAAUGCACCCUUUGUGCUUAGACGUCGCCAGUUUCCUGUUUGUGUGUGCUAUGCCAUGACAAUUAAUAAGAGCCAGGGACAGACCCUGUCUGCUGUUGGUAUAUAUCUUAAGGGUCCUGUUUUUACACACGGGCAGCUGUAUGUGGCAGUGUCUCGUGUUACGUCGAGGGCUUCUUUGAAAAUCCUUAUAUUAGAUGCUGAUGGCAAAUGCGGCUCUGAGACCAAGAACAUUGUUUUUCCUGAGGUCUUCCGGGCCGCGGGGAUGACUUAG